rnacentral:rRNA from 1 species
UACGGAGGAGGCAAGCGUUAUCCGGAAUUAUUGGGCGUAAAGCGUCCGUAGGUGGUUUAGUAAGUCUGCUGUUAAAGCGCGGGGCUUAACUCCGUAUCGGCAGUGGAAACUACUAGACUAGAGUGUGGUAGGGGUAGAGGGAAUUCCCAGUGUAGCGGUGAAAUGCGUAGAUAUUGGGAAGAACGCCGGUGGCGAAGGCGCUCUACUGGGCCAUAACUGACACUGAUGGACGAAAGCUAGGGGAGCGAAAGGG